rnacentral:tRNA from 1 species
UGAUUCCUCCGAGGAUCGAACUCGGCACCUUUCGCGGACAAACUGAAAUGUUGUUAGGCGAAUGUCAUAACCAACUAGACCAAGGAAUC